UACGUAGGGUGCAAGCGUUGUCCGGAAUUAUUGGGCGUAAAGAGCUUGUAGGCGGUUUGUCGCGUCUGCUGUGAAAUUUCGGGGCUCAACCCCGAACUUGCAGUGGGUACGGGCAGACUAGAGUGUGGUAGGGGAGACUGGAAUUCCCGGUGUAGCGGUGAAAUGCGCAGAUAUCAGGAAGAACACCUAUGGCGAAGGCAGCACUCUGGGACGGUACUGACGCUGAGACGCGAAAGCGUGGGGAGCGAACAGG
rnacentral:rRNA from 1 species